UACGGGGGGGGCAAGCGUUGUUCGGAAUUACCGGGCGUAAAGGGCUCGUAGGCGGCCAACUAAGUCAGACGUGAAAUCCCUCGGCUUAACCGGGGAACUGCGUCUGAUACUGGAUGGCUUGAGAUUGGGAGAGGGAUGCGGAAUUCCAGGUGUAGCGGUGAAAUGCGUAGAUAUCUGGAGGAACACCGGUGGCGAAGGCGGCAUCCUGGACCAACACUGACGCUGAGGAGCGAAAGCCAGGGGAGCAAACGGG
rnacentral:rRNA from 1 species